UACGUAGGGGGCAAGCGUUGUUCGGCAUUACUGGGCGUAAAGGGCGCGUCGGCGGCACGGCAAGUCGGGAGUGAAAGGCCUGGGCUCAACCGAGGAACUGCUUUCGAGACUGCCGAGCUAGAGUGCGGAGGGGGCAUCUGGAAUUCCCAGUGUAGCGGUGAAAUGCGUAGAUAUUGGGAAGAACACCUGAGGCGAAGGCGGGAUGCUGGGCCGACACUGACGCUGAGGCGCGAAAGCCAGGGGAGCAAACGGG
rnacentral:rRNA from 1 species